rnacentral:rRNA from 1 species
UACGUAGGUGGCGAGCGUUGUCCGGAUUUACUGGGCGUAAAGCGCGCGCAGGCGGGCUGGUCAGUCCGGGGUGAAAGCCCACGGCUCAACCGUGGAGGGUCAUUGGAAACUGGGGGACUUGAGUGCAGAAGAGGAAAGCGGAAUUCCACGUGUAGCGGUGAAAUGCGUAGAGAUGUGGAGGAACACCAGUGGCGAAGGCGGCUUCUGGUCUGUAACUGACGCUGAGGCGCGAAAGCGUGGGGAGCAAACAGG